rnacentral:lncRNA from 1 species
GUUGAUUGAAAUUGAAUUUAAUCUUUGAGUUUGUGUUAAACUUGAGGUUUGUUGGAUAUUGAGUUUUCUUUGGUUUGUGAUGUUGAACAUGGUUGAUGGAUUUGUCAUGUUUGUAGUGUUGGGUGAAAACUCUUGGUAAAGGGCUAUUAUGAAUUAUUUGUUAGGAAGUAGAGAGAAUUUGAGAUUGUUAGAGUUGAAAUUGUGAUUUUGCAAAGGAGAGAAAAAUUAAGAAAGAAUGUGGAAUUGUUGGAAAAGGAUUUAUAUUAUAUAUUGGUGGUAAAUUGUGUUGAAGGAAGUGAAUUAAAAAUUUGUUAAGUUAUCGAAUGGUCUUUGUGAAGGUUUAGAUUAAGCGAAUUCAUGGAAUGGUUAAGGAAUCGAUUUAAGAAUCAAUUGAGUGGUUAUGAGUUGGAGGGCAUUGAGAUUGUAAGGAAUUAUAGAAUUAAUCCCAAAUUAAAGUGUGGGAGUUUUAUAACAAUUUGUGAAUAACGGAUGCUUAUUCCAAGGGAAAUGAGACGUACUGAGCCCUCGUGCGAGGAGGACACAGGCAGGCAGCAGGGUUAG